UACGUAGGCAGCAAGCGUUGUUCGGAAUUACUGGGCGUAAAGAGUGUGUAGGCGGUGCUCUAAGUCUGUCGUGAAAUCCCCAGGCUUAACCUGGGAACUGCAUCCGAUACUGGUCGGCUUGAAUCCGGGAGAGGGAUGCAGAAUUCCAGGUGUAGCGGUGAAAUGCGUAGAUAUCUGGAGGAAUACCGGUGGCGAAGGCGGCAUCCUGGACCGGCAUUGACGCUGAACAGCGAAAGCUAGGGGAGCAAACGGG
rnacentral:rRNA from 1 species